UGUUUAUUGAGGGAAAUCGACCAAAGUAUGUCCAGGAUCUGCAUACGCAGGCUCAGGAGGGUCUGAAACUCCUGCAGCAAGAUGAAAACAGAAACGGUGUGGACUAUCUGGAUGACCAGAGCGUCAUUUCAACAGUGACCGCUCAGACAGAUGAUGACAUGCAGGGGUUAAAUUGGGAUUGGUUAUGUGGGGGGGCUCUGCCUCGUACCCGCCCCUGCCCCCGCCG